GACGACGGCUGGCGGGCGUGGAUUAGGCAUGCAAGUCGAACGGUAUCAUCCUUCGGGGGUGAGAGAGUGGCGAACUGGUGAGUAACACGUAGGUUAUCUACCCUCAAGACGGGGACAACCCAGGGAAACUUGGGCUAAUACCGGAUGUGAGCAACUUUUAGUUGUUUGAAAGGUGGCGUAAGCUGUCGCUUGGGGAUGAGCCUGCGUCCUAUUAGUUAGUUGGUGAGGUAACGGCUCACCUAGGCAAUGAUAGGUAGGCGGCCUUAACGGGUGGUCGCCCACACUGGGAUUGAGAUACGGCCCAGACUCCUACGGGAGGCAGCAGUCGAGAAUAGUCUACAAUGGUCGGAAGACUGAUAGUGCGACGCCGCGUGAACGAUGAAUCCCUUCGGGGUGUAAAGUUCUUUUAUAUGUGAGCAGUGCUUCUUAUAUUAACAGUAUGGGGAGAGAGAUAUUAGCAUAUGAAUAAGCAACGGCUAACUCCGUG
rnacentral:rRNA from 1 species